rnacentral:rRNA from 1 species
AGUGAACGCUGGCGGUAGGCCUAACACAUGCAAGUCGAACGGCAGCACAGUAAGAGCUUGCUCUUACGGGUGGCGAGUCGCGUACGGGUGAGGAAUAUAACGGAAUCUACUUUUUCGUGGGGGUUAACGUAGGGAAACUUACGCUAAUACCGCAUACGACCUACGGGUGAAAGCAGGGGAUCUUCGGACCUGGCGCGAUUGAAUGAGCCGCUGUCGGAUUAGCUAGUGGGCGGGGUAAAGGCCCACUAAGGCGACGAUCGGUAGCUCGUGUGAGAGGAUGAUAAGCGACACUGGAACGGAGACACGGACCUGACGACUAAGGUACGCAGCAGUGGGGAAUAGUAGACAACGGUGGGAAGCCUGAUACAGCCAGACCGAGUGGGUGAAGAAGGCGUUGCGGUUGGAAAGACCGUCUGUGGGUAAAGAAAAGCAGCAGGUUAAUACCCCGCGGGUCUGACGGUACUCAAAGAAUAAGCACCGGCUAACUACGUG